rnacentral:tRNA from 1 species
GUCCCCAUCGUCUAGUCUGGCCCAGGACACCGCCCUUUCACGGCGAUAACGGGGGUUCAAAUCCCCCUGGGGACG